rnacentral:tRNA from 1 species
UCCCUGGUGGCUCAGUGGUAAAGAAUCUGCCUGCCAAUGCAGGAGGCACAGGUUCGAUCCCUGAUCCAGGAA